rnacentral:rRNA from 1 species
UACGUAGGUGGCGAGCGUUGUCCGGAAUUACUGGGUGUAAAGCGCGUGUAGGCGGGAGGCCAAGUCUGCGGUGAAAUCGCUCGGCUCAACUGGGCGGGGUCCGUGGAAACUGGUCACCUGGAGGGCGGUAGAGGCGAGUGGAAUUCCCGGUGUAGUGGUGAAAUGCGUAGAGAUCGGGAGGAACACCAGUGGCGAAGGCGGCUCGCUGGGCCGGACCUGACGCUGAGACGCGAAAGCUAGGGGAGCAAACGGG